GAUGAAGAACGUAGUAAAAUGCGAUAAGUAAUGUGAAUUGCAGAAUUCAGUGAAUCAUCGAAUCUUUGAACGCACAUUGCGCCCGCCAGUAUUCUGGCGGGCAUGCCUGUUCGAGCGUCAUUUCAACCCUCAAGCACAGCUUGGUGUUGGGACUCGCGUUAAUUCGCGUUCCCCAAAUUGAUUGGCGGUCACGUCGAGCUUCCAUAGCGUAGUAGUAAAACCCUCGUUACUGGUAAUCGUCGCGGCCACGCCGUUAAACCCCAACUUCUGAAUGUUGACCUCAGAUCAGGUAGGAAUACCCGCUGAACUUAAGCAUAUCAAUAAGCGGAGGA
rnacentral:misc_RNA from 1 species